rnacentral:rRNA from 1 species
UGGGGAAUUUUGGACAAUGGGCGCAAGCCUGAUCCAGCCAUGCCGCGUGCGGGAAGAAGGCCUUCGGGUUGUAAACCGCUCUUGUCAGGGAAGAAACGCGCCGAGCUAAUAUCACGGCGUAAUGACGGUACCUGAAGAAUAAGCACCGGCUAACUACGUGCCAGCAGCCGCGGUAAUACGUAGGGUGCAAGCGUUAAUCGGAAUUACUGGGCGUAAAGCGUGCGCAGGCGGUUAUGCAAGACAGAUGUGAAAUCCCCGGGCUCAACCUGGGAACUGCAUUUGUGACUGCAUGGCUGGAGUGCGGCAGAGGGGGAUGGAAUUCCGCGUGUAGCAGUGAAAUGCGUAGAUAUGCGGAGGAACACCGAUGGCGAAGGCAAUCCCCUGGGCCUGCACUGACGCUCAUGCACGAAAGCGUGGGGAGCAAACA